ACUACCAAGUACCAGUCCUACCAACAUACAAAAAUCCAACGACUUAAAACAAAACAUUUGACAAACCCAGUAGAUGAGAUCGAACAGUAAACAAUAACAGGAACUAUAGAAUCAGUACCGUAAGGGAAACCACUAACAGCAUAAACAGCAAAGAUUAAACCUUGUACCUUUCGCAUCAUGGUUUAGCAAGGAAUUACAGACAAGAAAUCCUCACAGCCUCCACCCCUCGAAACUAGGUGAGCUACUUUAAAGCAGUCCACAGGACCAAUCCUUCUCUGUAGCAAAAGAGUGGAAAGACUUAAAAGUAGAGGUGAAACGCCUAUCGAACCUAGAGAUAGCUAGUUGCCCCACAACGAACAUUAGUUCAAUUUUAGAAGAUCAUAGUAACCCAUUACACCCUAAAAUAAUUCAAUAGAGGUACAGCUCUAUUGAAACAGGAUACAACCUGAAUUUGAGAGAAAGCUCACACGUCCCUCCAGUAGGCCUUAAAGCAGCCACCAAAAAGAAUAUCGUCCAAGAAUUACAAAAAAAAUACCAAUAUAAAAUGCCAACUCCAAAUUAACUAAAGGCCAAUCUAUACCCAUAGAUAAAAUAAUGCUAAAACUAAUAAUAAGAAAUUACUCUCUCAAGCGUAACCAUCCACUAACAACAGAAAACCUUAUAGCAAUUAACAGACCAGCGCAGGUAAAAUACUACUCUAUACACAACAAUUACACACACUGUGACCCCGACAUAGGAACGCCCAAAAAGAAAGAUUAAACAUUACAAAAGGAACUCGGCAACCAGAGACUCCAACUGUUUACCAAAAACAUAACCUUUAGCCCAACAAGUAUUAAAGGCAACGCCUGCCCAGUGAACACAUUCAACGGCCGCGGUACCCUAACCGUGCAAAGGUAGCGUAAUCACUUGUCUAUUAAUUGUAGACCAGUAUGAACGGCAACAUGAGAGCCUAACUGUCUCUUGUAAUUAAUCAAUUAAACUGAUCUCCCAGUACAAAAGCUGGAAUAAAACCAUAAGACCAGAAGACCCUGUGAAGCUUUAACUAAACUGCUAACCCAAAUAGUAGCUAAUUUCGGUUGGGGCGACCUCGGAACAAAAAUAAACUUCCGAACCACAUGAGACCUUUCCUCAUACAAUAAGGCUUACAAGCCUCUUCAACGACCCAGUACUACUGAUAAAUGAACCAAGUUACUCCAGGGAUAACAGCGCCAUCUUCUUCAAGAGCCCAUAUCAAAAAGAAGGUUUACGACCUCGAUGUUGGAUCAGGACACCCAGAUGGUGCAGCCGCUAUCAAAGGUUCGUUUGUUCAACG
rnacentral:rRNA from 1 species